GCAACUGAGGGCAUACACAGUGUAAGGAUCCCCGUGUAGUGGUUCUAGCAAAAAAGAAGAAGCCAAGUAGGAUAAAGCCCUCCACUUCACAGUGCAUAUAGCCUCAGGUGGGUCCCACAGAAAAAAAAACACCUUUUCUUUUUCAGCCACUCAACCGUCUCUCCCAUCUCUCUCCGAGCUCUCUCCUCCCUCUCUCCCUCUCACAGAUCUGAGCCUCCUCCGACGGCAGUGGCCCACGGCAGCGGAGCUGGGCAUGGCAUCGACGGCGACGGAGCUCGGCGGCGCUGGAGGUGGUCACGGAUCACAGCGGCGGGCCGACAGGCUCGGUGGCGCGGGGGCGGAGCUCGACGUCGGGCCUGUGAGCUCGGCGGCGCGGGCGAGCGGAUCUAGCCGAAUCUAGUCCGGGCCGACGACCUCGGCGACAUAAGUGAGCAGAUCCACUCUAGCUAACGAGCUCUCCUCUCCCGCUUGGCGGCGCGUCAGAGGGCGCCCGCGUCCCGGCGGCGCUUGUGUCUAGGCGGCGGCGUCCGCGUCCCGACAGCGGUGCCCGUGUCCAGGCGGUGGUGGCCGCGUUCCGGCGACAGCACGUCGGAGGUCGGCCGCGUCCCGUCGGCGGCGGAGGAGCACAUCUUGGCAGCGGCGGACGAGCUCGGCGGCCAGACUCUCUCCCUCACCUUGUCACGCACAUCUCGGAGGAGCUUGCGGCAAGGUGGACGGACGGCUUCUCUGAUAACUUUUCGAAAAAGCUAACGAGAAACGCGUGCCUCGCAGAAGACGCGAGAAGCCUGGUUGGAUGACGCAUUCGGCCGAGCUGGCGAGGAGUCUUGUACGGGGAGGUGUGAAGCUACAUGCCAUGUCACUGCAAUGUGCAUGGACGGGGAGGUAAUACUUAGUUUGAAUUUGAACUAGAGUUUUUUUUUAUUUUAGGAUGGAAGAAGCACAAGCUAGUAAAGAUUCGCACUAGUCGUCUGCUUUAUCCGUCUCAAAAUAUAAUUAUUUAUAGUAUUUUUAUAGUUAAUUAUUUCUAGUAUUAAAUCUUAUCCUAAAAUAUAAUAUUUCUAGUACUAUUCACGUUACUUACUACUCGCUUUCUUUCCAUUUUAUCAUCUAUCCAACUUUUUCUCGCUCUUAUUUACUUCUCAUUAUCAAAGAACACUAUUGUUUUUUCUUAACUUUAACCACUGCUAAAAAAACUAAAAAUACUUAUAUUUUAUACACCAGCCCGGUACGAGUUUAGUUUAGUCGGGGAAAUGAAAAAUUUUGGAUGUCACAUUAGACGUUUGACCAGAUGUCAGAUUGAGUUUUUGAUACGAAUGAAAAAACGAAUUUCACGGCUCGCCUAGAAACCGUAAAACGAAUCUUUUGAGCCAAAUUAAUCCGUCAUUAGCGCAUAUGAGUUACUGUAGCACUUAUGGCUAAUCAUCGACUAAUUAGGCUCAAAAGAUUCCUCACGAUUCUCCACAUAACUGUGUAAUUAGUUUUUCGUUUUAUUUUUAUUUAAUGCUCUAUUUAGAUUUAGAUGUCUAAAGAUUUGAUAUGAUAAAAUUUUUGGAAACUAAACCUGGCCUAACCACAAUAUCAGUUUAGCUCCACAGGCCGCAAGUAGCACCUCAAUAUUCAGAAAAUUCAGAUGCUAGUAGUAGCUGAAAUGGCUGUCCCGUGAGACCGUGACCUGCUUGAAAGGAUAAGGCAAGCGGUCACCUUUCUUCAGAGAAAGAAAAAGAUCACGGCUGCUAGCUUUGUUCCAGUAACACGUACUACUACUGCUCUAGCAGCAGCAGAGAGUGAUCUGUUUCUGUUGGCGAAUUUGGCUCGAUCGAUCGAUCUGCUUCGUCGUUCUCAUCCAAUCCAAUCCAACCCGGCCGACGACGGCCACGGACGAGGCUAUCGGCUAAGGCGGGGCCCCUGUGUCUCGUGGGGNNNNNNNNNNNNNNNNNNNNNNNNNNNNNNNNNNNAGCCUAGCGGCUACGGCUGCUCCGUGAUCUGUCGGUGCGGCCGGCCACAUGUCCGAAUCGGAAAUGGAACACGCAUCUCGCAGACAACCCCAGAGUCUGCAGACCUGACGAGCCAUGUCCUCCUCGUGUUGCCCCUCCUCGUCGUCUUGUGUCCUGUGACCCACACAGUUCUCAGUGCUCACAUACACUUGCUGCUAGCCAUGGAUUAGCCAAGAUAUGGCAUUUGAAUCAAGUAAUCGUUCUGCUUGUUUGUUUGUUUGUUUCUAGUGCUAGGUGCGGAGAAAAACCAAACAACUUAUUUCUAAUUAAAAAUUAGUUAAUAAAUAAUAUAUAUGCGUGUGUUUUUAAUCUAUCAAAAAGUUAAUGGUGAAAAAAUAAAAUAUAAUAAAAACCCUGAAAUCUACUUCAAAUCCAAAUCCAAAGAUGGCUGCCAGUUUCUUCUUCAUUCAUGGAGUAUCUCUGGUUAAUCGUAUCUUAAUUUUGGCACUAAUAACGAAAGCUCUGUCUGUCCAGUUGAACCCAACAUCCCUAUCGCGAAUCGUGAUAGAUUAAGACUUAAUUUUUUUAUUGAUCAAACAAAGAAACUGUUCGACACCGAAUCAUUGGAAAGGCUGCUACGUACGUAUACAGGUGUAUGUAAACACCUGGAGACUGCAACAUCUACCAGCCUGUGUUCUACGUACGCCUAGUAAGAAAUUGACCCGGUGUUGACAGCCACGGCUGAUCAAUACUCCCUCUUCCAAAAAAAACUAAUUUUUUUGGUUUUUCUCCAUUCGUCUUAUAUGUAAAUAUUUUAAAAAUAUUUAAAAUAUUAGUCACACGUAGAGUAUUCAUGUUUUAUUAUUUAAUAAUAUAAAAUUAUUAAUUGUAAUUUUUAUUAAUAAGACGAAUAGUUAAAACUUUUAUAUUUUCUGUUUUAUUAUCUAAUAAUAUAAAAUUAUUAAUCGUAAAUUUUUUAAUAAGACGAAUGGUUAAACAUGUUUUCUGUUUUAAUAAUAAUAUAAAAUUAUUAAUCGUAAAUUUUUUAAUAAGACAAAUAGUUAAACAUAUAUAUAUAUAUAAACUGAAAAGUUGAUUUAUUCCAGUACGAUAUAUAUAUAAACUGAAAAGUUGAUUGUUUUCUGUUUUAUUAAUAAUAAUAUAAAAUUAUUAAUCGUAAAUUUUUUAAUAAGACAAAUAGUUAAACAUAUAUAUAUAUAAACUGAAAAGUUAUAUAUAAACUGAAAAGUUGAUUUAUUCCAGUACGAUAUAUAUAUAAACUGAAAAGUUGAUUUGAUUUGAUUUAUUCUAGUACGGGAGUGGGACAGAGGGAGUAGUGGGACAGGACAAAGAUCAACUCAUUUCAACGCACACAAUUUAUGGCUGUAAUUAAAUCGCAACUAAUCAGGAGUAUCAGACAAAAGAUGACAACUUUCAGGGCAAACAAGAUUUACACAGUUGCACGCUUGGGAACAAGAACAUGUAUGUGAUGUGAGGAAUAUAUUACACAUGAAUUGUGGCAUGGACAUGGACACGGACACGAUCAGUUAAACACGAACAGGGCGUGGAUUACUACGAACAGUGAAAGAAAGAAUUUUACCCCAGCUACAUUACACAUUGUGUUCUUCGAUCCCCAAGUGCCAAUCUUUUAUUUAUUUAUACAGACGCCGGCCAGCCCAUCUUCUUCCCCAUCUCCGGCGGCGGCGGACG
rnacentral:lncRNA from 1 species